AGCUUUGCACAGUGGCAGUAUCAUAGCCAAUGAGGUUUAUCCAAGGCGUGAUUAUUGCUAAAAAAAAAAAAA
rnacentral:snRNA from 1 species